rnacentral:rRNA from 1 species
GAUGAACGCUAGCUACAGGCUUAACACAUGCAAGUCGAGGGGAAACGACAUCGAAAGCUUGCUUUUGAUGGGCGUCGACCGGCGCACGGGUGAGUAACGCGUAUCCAACCUGCCCAUCACUUGGGAAUAACCUUGCGAAAGUAAGACUAAUACCCAAUGAUAUCCCACGAAGGCAUCGGAAUGGGAUUAAAGAUUUAUCGGUGAUGGAUGGGGAUGCGUCUGAUUAGCUUGUUGGCGGGGUAACGGCCCACCAAGGCAACGAUCAGUAGGGGUUCUGAGAGGAAGGUCCCCCACAUUGGAACUGAGACACGGUCCAAACUCCUACGGGAGGCAGCAGUGAGGAAUAUUGGCCAAUGGGCGAGAGCCUGAACCAGCCAAGUAGCGUGCAGGAAGACGGCCCUAUGGGUUGUAAACUGCUUUUAGAAGGGAAUAAAGUGGGUCACGUGUGACUUUUUGCAUGUACCUUAUGAAUAAGGACCGGCUAAUUCCGUG